CCCAAAUUGCUCGAAGCUUUCGCCGCCGCGAGGCUGCGCUCUGGUUACCUUUAUCUUUAGCCACCAGUCGAGGCGAUGCAAAACCAUUCUCUCCAUCAGUUUUCCCAUACAGCUUGUCAGGCUCACAGGGCGAAAGGAGGAUAGGGCAUUUGGGGGCUUGCCUGGUUUCAAGAUAGGAACAACCAAUGCCUCCUUGCAGGUCCUCGUGAUUGCUGCUGUGCCAAACGACAUACGGAAAUAACCCAAGGGCACAAGGUUGGAGGGACCGACGCGGGAAUCGGGCAUGAUGUCUUAUCGUUAACAUAUUUCCUGAGCUGCAAUAUAUAACGCGUCUCCCAUCACUAUAUCUAAAUGUUUGCCUUCAUUAAACUUUGCAGGUCCCUUAAAUCGCGCGACAGGGCAACUUUGAAGCACAGUGAAUUACAGCACGUGUUCUCGGCUCUCCGUGUGUCUGCUUAGACUUACGUGUGGAUGAAGCAGCUGCUAAUCCACAGUGAAGAGUCACAGUGCAUAGCUCCCUGCUCAAUUAUUAUUUGAGUGAACGGAGUUUGCGUUCCGUUCAAGACUCUAUCGACACCGAACUUUACGC